CAAAUUCACACAGACAGGACCAAAUGACUUAGUGUCUUAAUUUCCCCAAACAUAAGGAACCCUGAUAUUUUUGUCUGUUCCCUAAAUAUACUUUGAGGUCAUGAGGCAUUUAAGUGUUCACGCCUCGUUUGAAGGCUAAUAUAUUUCCGCCAUUCAAUUAGUGGAUUUGGGAACUUUGCUGCAUGCAGCCCCCAUUUUCUCUUUGCCCAUUUUCUGUCUAAAUACUGCAAGUAAAGAGCAGGAGUUCCACAAAAAAUUAACUACUGCGGACACUUGUCUUCAUUCUCAGAGCUAGCGCAGGACACAGUUGGCCUCAUCAGAUCCGUCUCUGCAGUCCUGAAGCCCAUUGCAGUGCUGAGAGUGAUUGUAACAGGCUCCGUUUGCACAUGUCUUCUGGGUGCAUUGAGGAUAAUCUGUAAAAAGGUUCUUUGUUCAUCGGAUCCGUCGACGCAGUCCUCCUCCCCGUCACAGACAAAUCCCAGUGAGAUGCAUUCACCACUUGUCACACACUUAAAUUCCUGCGAGCUGCAUGAUGGAGGUGCUGCAGCAGGGAAACAAAACAGGCAAGGACCAGGAAGUUCCGCCAAGAUGCAACGUGCAGCAGUUUUAUGUUACAUUAAUCCUACAUUAAUGGAAAAUUAUCAUCCUUACACUCAGUAAAAACUGACAAUAA